CGAUCGCUGGCGGCAUGCUAUCAUGCAAGUCGACCUGAAGCACUCUGCUUGCAGAGUGCGGAUGAUUGCGACGGGUGAGUAACACGUGGGAAAUCUGCCUAUAGUGGGGGAUCACAUUCGGAAUCGGAUGCCUAAUGCCGCAUAUAUUCUUGGCCGCUGGUCCUUGACAGACAGCGGCUUCGCUGUCGCUUAUAGAUGAUCCCGCGGCGUCUAGUUAGUUGGUGGGGUAAAGGCCUCCAAGACAAUGAACGUAGCCGUACCUGAGAGGGUGAUCGGCCACACUGGGCUGAGACACGGCCCAGACUCCUACGGGAGGCAGCAGUAGGGAAUCUUCCGCAAUGGGCGAAAGCCUGAUGGAGCAAUGCCGCGUGAAUGAAGAAGGUCUUCGGAUCGUAAAGUUCUGUUAUUAGAGAAGACAAGUCAAGGAGUAACUGUCUUGACUUUGACGGUACCUAACAGA
rnacentral:rRNA from 1 species